rnacentral:rRNA from 1 species
UACAGAGGGUGCAAGCGUUAAUCGGAAUUACUGGGCGUAAAGCGCGCGUAGUCGGUUAUCUAAGUCGGGUGUGAAAGCCCCGGGCUCAACCUGGGAAUUGCAUUCGAUACUGGAUAGCUAGAGUUCGGCAGAGGGAAGCGGAAUUUCCGGUGUAGCGGUGAAAUGCGUAGAUAUCGGAAGGAACACCAGUGGCGAAAGCGGCUUCCUGGACCAGAACUGACGCUCAGGCUCGAAAGCGUGGGGAGCAAACAGG